rnacentral:tRNA from 3 species
CGGGAUGUGGCUCAACUUGGUAGAGCACCUGUUUUGGGUACAGGGGGUUGCAGGUUCAAAUCCUGUCAUCCCGACCA